UACAGAGGGUGCAAGCGUUGUUCGGAAUUAUUGGGCGUAAAGGGCGCGUAGGCGGUUCGGCAAGUCUCUAGUGAAAUCUCUGGGCUCAACUCAGAGUCUGCUGGGGAAACUGCCGGGCUUGAGUGUGGGAGAGGAGAGUGGAAUUCCCGGUGUAGCGGUGAAAUGCGUAGAUAUCAUCAGGAACACCGGAGGCGAAGGCGGCUCACUGGGGCUUUUCUGACGCUGAGGAACGAAAGCCAGGGUAGCGAACGGG
rnacentral:rRNA from 1 species